rnacentral:rRNA from 1 species
UACGGGGGGGGGCAAGCGUUGUUCGGAAUUACUGGGCGUAAAGGGCUCGUAGGCGGCCAACUAAGUCAGACGUGAAAUCCCUCGGCUUAACCGGGGAACUGCGUCUGAUACUGGAUGGCUUGAGUGUGGGAGAGGAAUGCGGAAUUCCAGGUGAGCGGUGAAAUGCGUAGAUAUCUGGAGGAACACCGGUGGCGAAGGCGGCAUUCUGGACCUUACUGACGCUGAGGAGCGAAAGCCAGGGGAGCAAAGCGGG